rnacentral:rRNA from 1 species
UGCAAGUCGAGCGGUAGCACAGAGAGCUUGCUCUCGGGUGACGAGCGGCGGACGGGUGAGUAAUGUCUGGGAAACUGCCUGAUGGAGGGGGAUAACUACUGGAAACGGUAGCUAAUACCGCAUAAUGUCGCAAGACCAAAGUGGGGGACCUUCGGGCCUCAUGCCAUCAGAUGUGCCCAGAUGGGAUUAGCUAGUAGGUGGGGUAACGGCUCACCUAGGCGACGAUCCCUAGCUGGUCUGAGAGGAUGACCAGCCACACUGGAACUGAGACACGGUCCAGACUCCUACGGGAGGCAGCAGUGGGGAAUAUUGCACAAUGGGCGCAAGCCUGAUGCAGCCAUGCCGCGUGUGUGAAGAAGGCCUUCGGGUUGUAAAGCACUUUCAGCGGGGAGGAAGGCGAUAAGGUUAAUAACCUUGUCGAUUGACGUUACCCGCAGAAGAAGCACCGGCUAACUCCGUGCCAGCAGCCGCGGUAAUACGGAGGGUGCAAGCGUUAAUCGGAAUUACUGGGCGUAAAGCGCACGCAGGCGGUCUGUCAAGUCGGAUGUGAAAUCCCCGGGCUCAACCUGGGAACUGCAUUCGAAACUGGCAGGCUAGAGUCUUGUAGAGGGGGGUAGAAUUCCAGGUGUAGCGGUGAAAUGCGUAGAGAUCUGGAGGAAUACCGGUGGCGAAGGCGGCCCCCUGGACAAAGACUGACGCUCAGGUGCGAAAGCGUGGGGAGCAAACAGGAUUAGAUACCCUGGUAGUCCACGCCGUAAACGAUGUCGAUUUGGAGGUUGUGCCCUUGAGGCGUGGCUUCCGGAGCUAACGCGUUAAAUCGACCGCCUGGGGAGUACGGCCGCAAGGUUAAAACUCAAUGAAUUGACGGGGGCCCGCACAGCGUGGAGCAUGUGGUUUAAUUCGAUGCAACGCGAGAACCUUACCUGGUCUUGACAUCCACAGAAACUUUCCAGAAGAUGG